rnacentral:rRNA from 1 species
GAUGAACGCUGGCGGCGUGCUUAACACAUGCAAGUCGAGCGGUAAGGCCCUUUCGGGGGUACACGAGCGGCGAACGGGUGAGUAACACGUGAGCAACCUGCCCUUCUCUUUGGAAUAAGCGUUGGAAACGACGUCUAAUGCCGAAUAUGACCCCCCGUCGCAUGGUGGGGGGUGGAAGCUCUGGCGGAGAAGGAUGGGCUCGCGGCCUAUCAGCUUGUUGGUGUGGGUAAUGGCCCACCAAGGCGACGACGGGUAGCCGGCCUGAGAGGGUGACCGGCCACACUGGGACUGAGACACGGCCCAGACUCCUACGGGAGGCAGCAGUGGGGAAUAUUGGACAAUGGGCGAAAGCCUGAUCCAGCAACGCCGCGUGAGGGAUGACGGCCUUCGGGUUGUAAACCUCUUUCAGCAGGGACGAAGCGAGAGUGACGGUACCUGCAGAAGAAGGACCGGCCAACUACGUGCCAGCAGCCGCAGUAAAAC